rnacentral:rRNA from 1 species
CUACGGGUUGCAGCAGUGGGGAAUAUUGGACAAUGGGGGAAACCCUGAUCCAGCAAUGCCGCGUGUGUGAAGAAGGCCUGCGGGUUGUAAAGCACUUUCGGUUGGGAGGACUGCUUCUAGCACUAAUAUUGUUGGAAGUUGACGUUACCUUCAGAAGAAGCACCGGCUAACUCCGUGCCAGCAGCCGCGGUAAUACAGAGGGUGCAAGCGUUAAUCGGAAUUACUGGGCGUAAAGCGCGCGUAGGCGGCUAGAUCAGUCGGGUGUGAAAGCCCCGGGCUUAACCUGGGAACUGCAUCCGAUACUGCCUAGCUUGAGUACAGGAGAGGAGAGUGGAAUUCCACAUGUAGCGGUGAAAUGCGUAGAUAUGUGGAGGAACACCAAUGGCGAAGGCAGCUCUCUGGCCUGAUACUGACGCUGAGGUGCGAAAGCGUGGGGAGCAAACAGGAUUAGAUACCCUUGUAGUC